rnacentral:rRNA from 1 species
GACGAACGCUGGCGGCGUGCUUAAUACAUGCAAGUCAACUGAACUUAGGAUAGCAAUAUUUUAAGGGAGGUGGCGCACGGGUGAGUAACACGUAGGUAAUCUGCCUUUAGGUCUGACAUAACCUACCGAAAGGUAGGCUAAAAUCAGAUGAUGCAGCGGCUCGACAUCGAGACAGUUGUUAAAUCUUCGGAGCCUAAAGAUGAGCCUGCGUCUGAUUAGGUAGUUGGCGGUGUAAUGGACCACCAAGCCUGCGAUCAGUAGCUGGUCUGAGAGGAUGAUCAGCCACACGUGGAACUGAGACACGGUCCAGACUCCGUACGGGAGGCAGCAAGGUAAGGAAUUAUUCGCUACAA